AGAACGAACGCUGGCGGCACGCCUAACACAUGCAAGUCGAGCGCCCAGCAAUGGGAGCGGCGGACGGGUGAGGAACACGUGGGAAUAUGCCUUUCGGUUCGGCACAACUGCGGGAAACUGCAGCUAAUUCCGGAUACGCCCUUACGGGGAAAGAUUUAUCGCCGAAAGAUUAGCCCGCGUCUGAUUAGCUAGUUGGUGAGGUAAUGGCUCACCAAGGCUUCGAUCAGUAGCUGGUUUGAGAGAACGACCAGCCACACUGGGACUGAGACACGGCCCAGACUCCUACGGGAGGCAGCAGUGGGAAUCUUGGACAAUGGAGGAAACUCUGAUCCAGCGAUGCCGCGUGAGUGAUGAAGGCCUUCGGGUUGUAAAACUCUUUUACCAGGGAAGAUAAUGACUGUACCUGGAGAAUAAGCUCCGGCUAACUUCGUGCCAGCAGCCGC
rnacentral:rRNA from 1 species